GCCGCCUAGCUGCUCUUGCAUCCGGGCUCACAGAGUCCGGGCCUGCAGAGUCUUGACUCCCCCAUUAGGCGGGAGGACGAAAGGAACUGAGUCUUGCCUCGACCCACAAGGCAUCUCUAUCUCCCUCCACGUGAAAAGUGUGUGAGGACAGGUGGGCAUGGAAAUCUGCUGGAUAGCCACUUGUUUGCCCUCAGUGCAUUUGGCAAGUCAUUCAUUCAUUCGUCAAAUAUGUUCUGAGAGCUUCCUGUAUGCAGGCGCUGUCCGGGGAAUUGUGUAUGCAACAGUAAGGAAAGUAGGAGGAAUAAUAGUCUGCCAACAGCAAUGAGAGCGCCUCCUCCAGGCCAGUGGAAUGUAGCUCACAGGAGUUUACACAGGAGAGAACAAGACCACUACCAAGAGGGCUAUGGGGGAGCAGUGUCCUGAGGGAAUAGCCAUGGUGCAGGGAGGCAGAAGAUGAGGGCUGCUUAGAGGAGAGGGUAUUUUUCCUUUUCUCUUCCCUGGCAUUUCUCCUUUUGUCUUCUCCUCUUUGGAAAGGUUUGUGGUGGGACUUCUUGCCUGUGUAUUUCCAAAAGCUUAACCCUGCUGGGGAGAUGAUGCCAACUUUUCCUGAAGGAGACUUCAACACAGAAGGUGCACAUUUGAGGGGAAAAAUGCCAAGUGAUUUUCCGCUGUGAUUUUUACUUAUCACGGAGAUUAGCAAAAGGAAUCCUCUGUGCUAGGAAAAGGAAGAGAGGGGGAAAAUAUUGAGAGUGGCAACAAUGGUGGGUCCAAAAGCAGUGUUUGGGAGUAGUUGAAAAAGGUCAGAAAGCAAUGGAUAUGUGGUGCUGUGUCCAGGCAGGCAGAGCCUGGUGGUGUCACGAGAGUGGCCACAGAGCCACUGGAUGUGAAGGAGCCAAGGCCUGGGCUGGGGAUGUGCUCGGCUGACUGCUGGCUGAGAGCGUACUGGACAGUGGAUGGGUCAAGAGCUGCCUGUAUGGCAGGUGACUCGAGUACCAGAUGCUCCCCUCUCACCAGCUUGGGCAACCCAAGCCCUGUGUCAUUUAGAUAUAACCUGGGGAAGGAAGCAGAGUGCAGAGGACCCUACAUGGCCUGCAAUGUAGGUUCUGGCUCCUCCAUAUAUUGGGAACUCAAAAUAGAAAUGAAAUUGAGUCCCAGAGAAUUAGAAAAGUUGUAUGUUCUGUGCAGAGGAGUAAAGGGAACCUGGGAAAGCCAACAGGAGGGGACUGAGGUACAGUCAUGAGAUGCAAGGGCCAGAAAGGGUUAUAGGGAUCAGAUGGUUUUGACUUGACAAGUGACAUGUCCAAGUCAUACAGCAAGUCACACUGACCCUGCUCCAUCAUAUGGAGAUGCCAUAGCUGAGCCUAUACACUUGCUGUCACAGAGCAAUAAAACACCAGAGCCAAAAAGGGACCAGCCUUUCCCAAACCUCAGACACUGGAGCAGGACCACCACAAUUCUUACCAUAUGCUUAUUGCUUGUAGUAAUAUUUUUCUUUAAACUGACUUAUUUUUCAUUAAAAUACAUUACGUCCCAAGAAAAUAGACAUCAUUAUCACUCUCUAUCACUACCGUCAAUAGAAAACAAGUCUCACUUUCCCAUAAAAAUAGAUUCAAUGAGGCCAGGCAUGGUGGCUCAUGCCUGUAAUCCUAGCACUG